ACACUCACAUAAUUUGGGGGCCUAAAGGAAGACACUCAACAUGUUGGGUCAACUCUCUGUGGAGGACAUCAUAUCAAUAUUCAGGCAGAGGCUCACAAGAUUGCUCCUGGCAGUAGCAGUUGCUCCUAUGUGAAUUUCCCCAAGUUGGUGGUAUUCAUUUAGUUUUACAAGUCUUGGAAGAUUCUCUAUCAUGUCAUGGAUAUUCCCAGGACUGGAGAGCAGAGUACCAAACUCCUCCUAAUACCUUCCUUUAUUGAAGGUGGAAAGUAUACUUUCAGCUCACUUCACUUUGUAUCCAAUGCUUUGUUUGGUUUCAGUUCCAUGGAACAAGAUGCCCCAGUGGCAGGUAUCAAUUGGUUUACCCUUUUCCUCUGUCCAGAUUUUCUACCUCCUUUUUUAUGUGGUCUUCCAUCAUUAGAUGAUAAGCUCCUUGAGGG
rnacentral:lncRNA from 1 species